rnacentral:rRNA from 1 species
UACAGAGGGUGCAAGCGUUAAUCGGAAUUACUGGGCGUAAAGCGUGCGUAGACGGUCAUGUAAGUCGGGUGUGAAAGCCCCGGGCUCAACCUGGGAACUGCAUCUGUGACUGCAUAGCUAGAGUACGGUAGAGGGGGAUGGAAUUCCGCGUGUAGCAGUGAAAUGCGUAGAUAUGCGGAGGAACACCGAUGGCGAAGGCAAUCCCCUGGACCUGUACUGACGCUCAUGCACGAAAGCGUGGGGAGCAAACAGG